rnacentral:lncRNA from 1 species
AAAACCCCUCUCUUUCACACAUCCAUUCUUUUAAAAAUAAAACAAUAACAAGAUAAAUCAUUAUGUACGUAAACAACCCAAAUGGUUCCCGUGAAAUACCAUGAAUGUGAGGGGUGCUAAUACAUUCCCCUUGUGUAACUGACUCUCAAACCCUAAUCUUGAUUGCGAUACUGAUUCCUUAUCCUUUUCUAGCGCUUCCUGUGUGCUUAUCAUUUUUAGGGUUUUAUCGACUAUUUCCCUCGCCUCUUCGAUAGAGGCACACAAAUAAAAUUCGGUGGCGACUCUUCUGAUCUUUUGUUCAGUCCGUCCAGUUAGCUCGUCAUCAGAAACCCCGGUGGCGACACUAAUUACUACUAAAAAUACUUGAGAUUACUGAUAAAACUUCAUGAUGACGAGUUGUUGUCACUCGAGUCCUUUUCAAGAACGGUGGUAGAAAGGUAUCCUUGAACGAAAGGUCUCCUUGGACGAUGAUCUUGUAGUUG